ACAGCUGAAAAGGAUCCCCAGGCCUGUAGGAGUGGGGUAGAGGAAACUACAGAGUUGGUCUACAGCCAAAUAAUAUGGAGGAAAUAAGAAGAAACCGUUUCCAGAGGAACCAGAGGAUGUUUUUGGGGAGAUUAGUAGACGACACCGUGCCUUGUAAUUUCUAACCAUAACACAAAAGUACUUUGUACAUUGUUCAUUGCCAUAUACGUCUGUAUUGCUUUCAA